GACGAACCGUACGAACGUUAUUCGGAAUCACUGGGCUUAAAGGGUGCGUAGGCGGCGCGACAAGUUGGGUGUGAAAUCCCUCGGCUCAACCGAGGAACUGCGCCCAAAACUGUCGUGCUCGAGGGAGACAGAGGUGAGCGGAACUUAGGGUGGAGCGGUGAAAUGCGUUGAUAUCCUAAGGAACACCGGUGGCGAAAGCGGCUCACUGGGUCUCUUCUGACGCUGAGGCAUGAAAGCUAGGGUAGCGAACGGG
rnacentral:rRNA from 1 species